rfam:Schistosoma mansoni, Puerto Rico, WGS project CABG01000000 data, contig: 0151
AUCCAGCUGACGAGUCCCAAAUAGGACGAAACACGUGUCCAACUGGAU